UCCGUAGGUGAACCUGCGGAGGGAUCAUUACCGAGCGAGGGCCCCCGGGCCCGACCUCCCACCCCUUUGUGAUUUGACCUCUGUUGCCUCGGGGGCGACCCGGCCGGUUCUUCGGCCAGGGCCCUCGGUGGACCAUUGAACACUGCAUCUGUGCGUCUGAGUCAGAUAUAAAUCAAUCAAAACUUUCAACAACGGAUCUCUUGGUUCUGGCAUCGAUGAAGAACGCAGCGAAAUGCGAUAAGUAAUGUGAAUUGCAGAAUUCAGUGAAUCAUCGAAUCUUUGAACGCACAUUGCGCCCGCUGGUAUUCCGGCGGGCAUGCCUGUUCGAGCGUCAUUACACCACUCCAGCCUGGCUGGGUAUUGGGCGUCCGCGGUCCGCCGCGCGCCUCAAAGUCUCCGGCCGAGCCGACCGUCCCUCAGCGUUGUGAUUUACUCGAUCGCUGUGGGGUGCGGGCGCGCCCGACGCCGUUAAACGUCUUCUCCAGGUUGACCUCGGAUCAGGUAGGGAUACCCGCUGAACUUAAGCAUAUCAAUAAGCGGAGGA
rnacentral:rRNA from 1 species